CCUAGAGGCUGAACAAACAAAGGAGGAGGCUGGGGGUUCCUUUCUGCCCGGUUUGCCUUGCCCCUUGGGCCCUGGGCAGCGAGGGGACCUCCAGCAAAGGGCACUGUGGCAGUCAGAACCCUUGCCCCCAGCCUCCUCAGGGAGGUCUUCCGCUUAGGGUCUGGACUACAUCAGCCUCUGUGUUGGGGAACCCUGAGAGGGAUCAGGCAGAAAGCCACUGCCCAAAGAUCCCAGUCUCGUAUGGAUCACUGACCUUGGCUCCCAGGAAGGGCCUGCCUUCCCAGAUGGGCCACCAGCUAGGAUUUACCCACCCUGGGCAGGCCAGAGCCCUCCCACCCCUGCACCUCUCUUUUGAAGGUACUUCUGGACAUUUGUACACACCGGGUGGGGGCUGUUUUGCUCCACAGUUCUCCCUCCUUCCAGAUUUGGGGGCCCUGCCCCUUCCAUUAGUGAGGCCUUCAGGAAUGACUGAGGAGCUCUCCCCUUUAAUCUGUAGAAGUAAUUUCAUGUUUGUUUGAAACAGAAGAUGAAAGGCAGUGGGGGCUGGGGGUCUGAAGCCCAGCGUGGCUCUGCCUGCCUACCCCUGGUCCCAGGGUUUAGAAGGAAAGAAAGGUGGGCAUCCAUGGGCCGGGCAGGGUCAGCAGGAUCAGGACCAGAAACAUCAGGGCAAUCAAUACCCAGUUCAGAUUGCCACCCUGGGCCCCCUGCCCCAGCAUUCAAGCCACCACUGGAAAGCAUCAUGCCGGUGUCUGCAGUAAACACAGAACCCUGCUUUCUCGAGGAGACGCCAGGGCCAGAGUGAGCACCAACCCCUGGAGGCCGGGACAAGUCCCGAAAGCCCCUAGUCGGCCAGCCCAGCCUGGCCAGGGACGGAGGAGUUUCUGCUGCUGCGCUGUUCUCUGAUUCUCUGAAAUGGCCACACACACUUUAAAUGGCCCAAUAAAAAGAUACAAUUUCUUUUGCCUCUGGGCCUGGGACCCUCAAGACUGUUGUGCAGUGCCCGUGAGGUUAAGUUCAGAGCAUAAACUGACACACCAGGCUCUGGGAAAUGGCCCGUCUCUUCAAAUAGCAGCCCAGCAGUGCCAUAGGAGCCCUGCUGGGGCUUUGAUUCGGGAAAACAAACAGAAAUGGCACCGUGGGCCCUUCGUGGCCCCCACCCUAAGACCAAUUUAACUAGAAAACUCUAGCUCAACAGCGCCUGUGAAGGGAGCAAGAUCAGCCUGACAAUAGCCCCAAACUUUGGGGGAAAGGGGGACAAAACAAGCUGUCUGUCUCCUCAGCCCCUCCUCUUGGGCUCCUUUUCUUACUGCAAGUGUGUUCUUGUAAAAAACGAUUAGAUUGCAAUUUGUAUAACAUGGUGACCCCCAAAUUCAGACGUUUCACCCCUUUUCUCUGGAAAGAAUGUCAAGAAUGCUUCUCGGCCUCUCACGGUGGGGGGCGGGAGGGGGGUGCAGAGCCUUGGCUAUCAAACAAUUUGUGUGGGAACAGGACUGCCCCUCAGAGCCCUGGGCCAAGACAGGAGCAAGGGCCGGCUCUGUCACUCCAGAGGGCCAGACAAAAAGUCCAUUCCCUUCCAACUCCUGCGCACAAAGCCUGGGCCUCCAGGAGCCGCUGGGGUGGGGGGCUCCACACCCCAGCCUCCCCCGAGCCCGACUCCAGCAAUUCUCUCUCCACCCAGGGAAAGAUAAAGACAGAUGGGGCCACCCCUGUGAGCCUAAGAAGGAGGGCAGGCCUGGGGCGGACAGCCGGAAGGAGACAUGGCCCUGAGGCCAGGCUGUGUGCAGCAUUCCCUGGGAGCCCCCCCGAGUGCCUGGGCAGAAGGAGCAAGCAGAGGGUGGCCUCAUCCCAGAGACCCUUGAAGGGGGUGAUCAGAUGUGGAAACCGAGGCCCAGAGCGCCCCCCACCCAUAUCACAGAGCUAAGAAGCGGCAGAGUUAGUUCGAGAACCCAAGUCUGUCUGACCACACAGCCUGUGUGCCCUCCGUAGCUCCUCACAGCCUCCCAUCACACACCAGAGGAGGGGUUCCUUGGCCUCAGCCCCACACAGAAGCAAGAAGUUUGCGGUGGCAGGAGUUUGGCAGGGGAGUCACGGAACGACAUUCACAGACUGCAGGCGCUCCAAUGUCCCAGAGGCUACAGGACAAAGGAUCCCUUGGAAGUUUUAGCUGAGCUGUGCCGACAACAGUAUGAUGUGACCAUCAGCUACACUAACAAAAGCAAAAGAUCUAGAAUAAGGAGGGGAUAGCGCCUGCCACUCAUCAUCUCACACCCGGCACGUUCAGUACUCAGUUACGAACAUCCCAUUUCAAGAGGGAUCCAACCAGAUAAAUGCAAGAAACUUUCAGGUGAGAAUGGUCCUAAAACGAGUGUGAGACCCACACAGUAGGGUCACCCUCCCAGCUAUUCCUCACUUACUUUCUUGCUGACCCCCCCCAAAUCUGAUUCUGUGCCCACCGCUCCCAUCCUCCUUGCCACUAUGCACGUGGGGGAAGCUGGGUUCUUCCCCAGACCCAGGUCAAUCUUGACUGGUCAUUCCAUUUCCCUUGCCACGGUUUGGUUCAGGGUGAGCAAAGGAAUACGCUCUUGGCUCACUCAAUAUGAGGAGUCUGCUUGGGGGCUCCUAUAAAAGGACUCCCCAUCUUAAAAAGAGACCCAGGCAGGGACAAGUCUUCUUCCUUCCUUUCUCCCUCUGGGUAUUUUGCCUCAUGAGCAGGUAGAGCUUUUGUGAACAAGCCUGAGCAUAAGGGCAAAACCCACGUUGACAGAGGGGGCAAAGCGGAAAGCUGAGAAGAUGGGCCCUCAGCCUCUCGCUGAGCUACUGCACCCGUCAAUCCUGGAACCAGCGAAGCUUCCAGCUCCUGGGGACUCCUUGUCACUUACGAUAAUAAUAAUCUCUUUAUUGUUGGAGCCACUUUGAAGUAGGCCCUCAAUACUUCCAGCCAAAAGCACCCUAACUGAUGUACUAUGUGUAUAAGCAACAGCAGAAGGGCCUCAGACUUUCGGCCUGAUAAAGAGAAGACACUGGAGAAACAGGACCAAAGUUUUCAGAUAUUUGAAGCCCUGUCUUCGGAGGCAAGGUUCAACUUGCUUCUUGCCUAGAAUCAUAGCCCCUGGAAGCAGGUCAACUCUCGAUGAAGGACAGGUGUGAUAACUCUCAGGGCUCUCCAAAGAUGUAAUGUGGUGUCUGGGAGAGUUGCGAGUUUCCUAUCCCUGUGGUUGGAUGACCGUUAAGAGAAUGUUGUAGAAAAAACCAUAUUUAACUAAAACAGCUCACGUGUUAAAGAAAAAAUCUUUUGGGAAGAGUGACAAUACAAUGGAUUUUUCAGGGGGCAAAAAGAUGGGUACCACUUUCCUGGGGAUACAGAGAGGAAAGGAGACAUGCUGGAGUCACUGAGGCAGGAGACAGACAAGAAGAGAACAUCCUCGCUGCUGCUGUAGAUCACGGUGCUGAACCAGAGCACGGGACCUGGGGCCAGGUGCAGACGGUCUUAGACGUGACCCCACAAGCACAAUUGACAAAAAAAAAAAACAAUUUGGACGCCAUCAAAAUGUAAAACUUUGGUCUUUUAUCCUGUUAAGAGGAUAAAAAGACAAGCUCCAGACUUAAAGAUAGAGGCAAACCACAUAUCUGACAAAGGAUUCAUUUCUAGAAUAUAUAAAGAACUCCCCAAACUCACCAGUGAAAAAGCAAACUGUUCAAUUAGAAAAUCGCCAAAAGACAUGAGCAGAGAUUCCACCAAAGAGAACAUACAGAAGGCAAAUACACACACGAAAAGAUGUCAUUGGCUCUUACGGAAAUUCAAAUUAAAGCCACGAGAUACCACACCUCUUAGAAUAGCUAAGACAAGAAAGAGCGGCAAUUCCAAAUGCUGUCAAGGAUGGGAAGAAACUACAUCUCUCAUACCCUGGAGUUGGAUUAUAAAAUGGUAAAGAUAUUCACAAUAGUUUGACAGGUAAAAAAUUAAACACACACUUACCAAAUGACCUGGCACUUGGACUCUGGGGCAUUUAUCCCAGAGAAAUGAAAACAUGUGUCCACACAAAAGAUUAUAUGCAAAUGUUCACGAGAGCUUAAUUUGCAAUAGUCAAAAAAUUGAACAUAACCCAAAUGUCCUUCAGUGGGUGAAUGCUGUUCAGUGGGAGAGAACUUUGGGGCGUCCACACCAGGGAAUACUACUGAGCAAUAAAAAGGAAGGCGCCAUUGAUACAUAGGACGAGUGCUAUGGCUCUCAUGAGAACUAUGCUGGGUUAACGGGGGUGGGGACCAAAUCACAAAAGGUAUUCCACUUAUAUAACACCUCCAAGCUGCCAGAAGUAAAGAGGUGGAAAACACGUAAGUGGCUGCGAGAGGUUAGAGACGAGGGAGGUUAAGAGGGCAGGGGAGGAAGAUGGUGUGGCUGUACGUGGGCAAGUGGGGAAUCCGCCAGUUCUGUAUCCUAACUGUUGUAGUAGUUACGUGAAUCUACACAUGGGAUAAAAUGGCAAAGAACCACACACACACACACACACACACAGAGAAAUGAGUACAAUCUGAAUAAAGGUCUGUGGAUUAUACCAAUGUCAAUUUCCUGGUUCUGAUUAUAAUAUAAUAUAAUAUAACAUAAUAUAAUAUAGAAAUUACUUAUAAAUAAUUGAUAUCAAAUUUAUAUUUAUUAUAUUAUCUAACGUAACACAGGUACCUUGCUGUCCUAUUUUUGGAACUUCCUAUGAAUCUCUAUUUCAAAAUAAAAAGCUUAAAAAAAUCCAACAGAAUGGCAGACAAUCUGAUGGGAACGUGUCAAGCUUACCAAGGCAGAGAGUUGUGAAUAAAACCUGGGUGUAUUUUAA